rnacentral:rRNA from 1 species
AUUUCGAAUGACUGGCGAGCCUGAUCCGCCUUCCGCGUGAGUGAAGAAGGCCUUCGGGUUGUAAAGCUCUUUCGCAAGGGAAGAAAACUUAGCCACUAACAUUGGCUGAGGUUGACGGUACCUUGAUAAGAAGCACCGGCUAACUACGUGCCAGCAGCCGCGGUAAUACGUAGGGUGCGAGCGUUAAUCGGAAUUACUGGGCGUAAAGCGUGCGCAGGCGGUUUUGUAAGUCAGAUGUGAAAUCCCCGAGCUCAACUUGGGAACUGCGUUUGAAACUACAAGACUAGAAUAUGUCAGAGGGGGGUAGAAUUCCACGUGUAGCAGUGGGGGUGCGGGAGAGAUGUGGAGGAAUACCAAUGGCGAAGGCAGCCCCCUGGGAUAAUAUUGACGCUCAUGCACGAAAG